AUUGAACGCUGGCGGCCGGCCUAACACAUGCAAGUCGAACGAGUGGCGGACGGGUGAGUAAUGUCUGGGCAACUGCCUGAUGGAGGGUGCUAACUACUGGAAACGGUAGCUAAUACCGCAUACCAUCGGAUGUGCCCAGAUGGGACUAGCUUGUUGGUGGGGUAACUGCUCACGAAGGCGACGAUCCCUAGCUGGUCUGAGAGGAUGACCAGCGAAACUGGAACGGAGACACGGUCCAGACUCCUACGGGAGGCAGCAGUGGGGAAUAUUGAACAAGGGGCGCAAGCCUGAUGCAGCCAUGCCGCGUGUAUGAAGAAGGCCUUCGGGUUGUAAAGUACUUUCAGCGGGGAGGCGUUACCCGCAGAAGAAGCACCGGCUAACUCCGUGCCAGCAGCCGCGGUAAUAC
rnacentral:rRNA from 1 species